rnacentral:sRNA from 1 species
GGGAAACAUUCCAUUUUGACGAAAAUCCGGAAAGAUUUUUUUCUUCUAUUGUGUCCUUCCUUGAUUUUAUUGAAGAUAUGCCAUGCGACAAGAAAGAAGAAUUUAAAAAAGAAUUUGCGGAUAAAUAUGCAGAAACACAAAUUGUCUGUAAACAAAAAAAUAAUCAGAUAUUAGACGUGUACCGGAUAUUAGUGGUUUUUGCUCAAAAAUGUAUGCCAUGAAUGUGCACACAUUGUUCAUUUUAAAUGAAAUAAUAAUUUUAAUUAUAUAUUAUAUUUAAUUUAAUUUUCCGAUAAAAUUAUCCAUGAAUAAAAUAAAAAAAAUGUAUUGUAUUAGAGGUUUACAUGUAUUAAAAGUUGCACAACAACGUAUGCCAUAAUUAUGUGUACAUAUUGUUUUGAAUAAAUAUUAUUGUAAUUAAACAAAUGAAUUUAUGUAACAUAUAAUGAAAUUAUGUCAGAUUAUCAAUUGUCUAAACGUUUGAUUAAAAAAUUUAACAUUGUGUUACUGAAA